rnacentral:tRNA from 1 species
AAUAAAGUAAGCUAAAUAAAGCUAGUGGGUUCAUACCCCAAAAAUGAAUAAUUUUUCCUUUAUUG